GCCUGCUUGGCCAAGUGGUAAGGCGUCAGUCUUGUAACGUGCGUAUGCACUGCAAUAAAACUGAAGAGCGCUGGUUCGAUCCCGGCAGUAGGCA